rnacentral:rRNA from 1 species
UACGUAGGUGGCAAGCGUUGUCCGGAAUUAUUGGGCGUAAAGCGCGCGCAGGCGGUCCUUUAAGUCUGAUGUGAAAGCCCACGGCUCAACCGUGGAGGGUCAUUGGAAACUGGGGGACUUGAGUACAGAAGAGGAAAGCGGAAUUCCACGUGUAGCGGUGAAAUGCGUAGAUAUCGUUUGGAACGCCAAUGGUGAAAACAGGUAACUGGGGCUGUGCCGACGCUGAGACACGAAAGCCAGGGGAGCGAACGGG